rnacentral:rRNA from 1 species
AGAUUAUAUUAACAUUUAAUUAAAUUCGAAUUAGAAUAUAUAAAAUAAAAUGAUUAAAUUAAUAUACAGUUUAGAUUUAGAUUAAUAAUUAGGCAAUUAAUUAGUUUUCAACUGUUUACCAAAAACAUAGUUUAAAGAAAAAAAUUUUAAAUAAAUUCUGCUCAAUGAUAAACUUAAAUAGCUGCAGUAAAUUAACUGUACUAAGGUAGCAUAAUAAAUUGCUUUAUAAUUGAAAGCUUGAAUGAAGGAAACAAUGAAAAACAAACUUUUUAAUCUAAAAAAGUAAAAAUUAGUAUUUAAGUGAAAAAUCUUAAAUUAAAUCAAAAGACAAGAAGACCCUUUAGAACUUUACAAGCCUCACCAUCUUAACUGGAUUGUCUUGUUAAAUUGGGGAGAUUUUUAAAUAAAUAAAUCUUUAAAUAUAAUAAGAUGAUAUACUUCAAAUUAAAUUAUCCACGUAUGAACUAAAACAAGUUACCUAAGGGAUAACAGCGCAAAAUUUUUGAGAAGAUCUUAUUCACAAAAUACAUUGCGACCUCGAUGUUGGAUUAAGAAUAACUUAUAGAGAAAAAUUUAUAAGAAUUGGUCUGUUCGCCCAAGUGAGUCUUACAUGAUCUGAGUUCAGACCGGCGUAAGCCAGGUCAGUUUAUAUCUUUGAUCAUUUA